UGAAGCGGAUUCUAGGGAUUCUUUUUGUCCACCCGUUGCUCGAUCUCUUCGCGUGUUGGGUCCCCUCCUUUUUAGCUUCGAAAAAUCUGAAAUUUCUUUUUCUUGUUUGGUCGAAUGGGGAUUUCUUUAAUUUUGUGCUUGAUGCUGCUGCUGAGGCGUCCUGACUCUACUUCGAAUGGUCAUUCUUGAUCCUUUAUAGUAGUUUGUCUCUGUCAGUUGCAUGUUUUCGGAUUAUAGACUCACUCGUGCUUAUUGUGAAUAAUUUGGACAUAUGUAUUAUGAGAACCAUUUAGGUUUUGUGGGGAAAUCAUUUGUAGUUGCUUGCUAGAAUUUAUUGUGGUCUGAAAGAAGACUAAUCAAUUUACCAAACGAUCAUGCAUGGUCUGAGCUGCUUCAUCAUUCAGAUCGAUCUUUCACUGUGUUUUUACUUGAUUGCAAACAAAUUUGUUGGUAUGGUACUGGUUAUAACCUAGGUUUCUUACUGUGGUCUAGGAUAAUACGCUGUUCUAGAACCUUUUUGUUUGUCCUUGUCAUCUAAAUAUGCUGGUGCUAAGCAAGAUGUGUUUUGGUAGUAAUGAUAUCAAUUUGCAGUGUACUUGUUAUUAUGUAAGGUGUAGUAGACUGACCAUAAUAUUUGAUCUUUAAUGGUGUAGGAUGAGGUAAUUUAUCCAUUGAAAAUUCUUUCUUGGUGCUUUUCAUGAGUUCCAAAUUUAUGUUAGUAUGGUUAGAGAAAAUAUUUCCUAUUUGUGAUUAUGUGCUGUGAUUUUUCUCACUAUAAUUCUUUUCCUCCAUUUUAUGUUCCUAACUAGGAUCAAGGGAGUGACCAUGGUAUGUCUGAACGAAUAUGAUUGUCCUAGUAUAUAGCACACUGAAGAGGAGUUUUGGACAUGAUUAAAUGUCUCAAAUGUAAUUUCAAUCCAACUGAUAACUUCCCUCUGAUGAUGAAAAUAAAAUUUUUGUAUGAACGGAAAGUCCUUGCACGAAAACUCAUAUUGGAACUCCAAAGCACAUAUUUAGUCAGAAUAAUUAUAUAUUCAUCUGGAGAAAAGAAUAAACAUGGCAUUUAAUCAAACAGAGAUGAGUUUUGGUUUUACAUCUUUAAUUGUUGAUCCAAUUGGAAUCCAACCCACAUGGUUAAGGCUCAGUAUCUGGUGACAUCGAGCAAAGAUAUACUCUCAAUCUUUUGAAGCUGUGAUCCAUGCCAAACCUGGCUUGGAUUCCAUUUUCUGUUUAAUAGACAGUGGCUAGGUGCUGGAGAGUGUCAAGCUUAACUAUGUGAGAACUUUAUAUGAUUCUAUGGUAACAUAGCUUAAUUAUCAAAAACAAAGCCUUUAAUUGGAUGGCAAUCUUAUUCCUUGGGGCAAAUAUUUUUUGCAAAACUGAAAAUAUAAUAAUAUUGUUAAUAAUCUUAAAUAACAAAUGGUCAAAUUUGUUUAUUUUUUGUUUCACCUUUCAUCUCAGACUAAAUUGUACCAAGAUUUUUCGUUUCUGUUGGUACAUAAUUAUCUAAAGCUCAAGAUCUGUUACCAGGAGACAUAUUGGAAAGAAGCAGUUCAUGUUCUAAGGUUAAGUUUGCCGAGUGGGCUUCCAUUGGUUGUUUGAAACACAUUUAUCUUUGCAUAUCCUUACUGAGGCAUUGUUGGUGAAUUUCUUCUUCUUAAUUAUUUUGACAUCCUGCUUUGAUCUCUUUUCUUAGUCAUAUUUGUAGCAGUUAACGAUGUUCUUGGCAUGGAGUUCCUUGAGGCUUCAAUUGGGUGCUCCAUUCAUGAAUCUUGAAAUAUCAAAACCCUUUUAGGGAUCUGCAAUCUGUAUAGUAUGUCAUUUCUCAGCAUUGGAAUGUUAUUGAAAAACUUAGUUUACAUCACUUGCAACAAAAGAAAUAAGAAAGCGACUAAGUGCUGGAGAGCGACAAGCUUAACUAUGUGAAAUCUUUAUAUGAGUUUAUGGUGACAUAGCAUAGCCUUCAAGAAGGAAGUUUUCAAUUGGAUGGUUAUCUUAUUCCUUGGGGCAAAUAUUCUUGCAGAAUUAUCUACAAUGAGUUAUGUUGAUGCAUCGGCUAAAGUGUGGACAAAAUGGUCUAUCUUGCCUCGUAGUAAUGUUAAUUUUCUUAAAUAAACAAAAGGUCAAAAUUUUUUCUUUUCCCUUCAGCUUUCAUCCCAGACUAAACUGUACCACUUUUUUGGUUUUAUUCAGACAUAGUUAUCUAAAGUUCAAGAUAUGGCAGUAGGUGACAUAUUGGAAAUAAUCAGUUCAUGUUCUAAGGUUAAGUUUAUCAAGUGGUCUUCUAGUGGUUAUUUGAAACACCUUUUAUGUUUGCGUAUCCCUACUGAAAUAUUGUUGGAGAACUCUUUUUUCUUUAAUAUUUUGACUUCUUGUUUUGAUAUCUUUUCUUUUUCAUAUUUGUUGCGAUUAACUACAUUCUUGGCAUGGAGAUCCUUGUGGCUUCAAUUGGGUGCAAAA